GGGGUAUGGCGGAAUUGGUAGACGCUACGGACUUAAAAUCCGUUGGCUUUAUUGACCGUGAGGGUUCAAGUCCCUCUACCCCCAAAACA
rnacentral:tRNA from 1 species